rnacentral:rRNA from 1 species
UGGGGAAUAUUGGACAAUGGGCGAAAGCCUGAUCCAGCCAUGCCGCGUGUGUGAAGAAGGUCUUCGGAUUGUAAAGCACUUUAAGUUGGGAGGAAGGGCAGUAAGUUAAUACCUUGCUGCUUUGACGUUACCGACAGAAUAAGCACCGGCUAACUCUGUGCCAGCAGCCGCGGUAAUACAGAGGGUGCAAGCGUUAAUCGGAAUUACUGGGCGUAAAGCGCGCGUAGGUGGUUUGUUAAGUUGGAUGUGAAAGCCCCGGGCUCAACCUGGGAAAUGCAUCCAAAACUGGCAAGCUAGAGUACGGUAGAGGGUGGUGGAAUUUCCUGUGUAGCGGUGAAAUGCGUAGAUAUAGGAAGGAACACCAGUGGCGAAGGCGACCACCUGGACUGAUACUGACA